UACGGGGGGGCAAGCGUUGUUCGGAAUUACUGGGCGUAAAGGGCGCGUAGGCGGCAAGGCAAGUCAGGUGUGAAAGCCCCGAGCUUAACUCGGGAAUUGCAUCUGAAACUGCUGUGCUUGAGUUCUGGAGGGGGUAGUGGAAUUCCCAGUGUAGCGGUGAAAUGCGUAGAUAUUGGGAGGAACACCUGCGGCGAAGGCGGCUACCUGGACAGAAACUGACGCUGAGGCGGCGAAAGCUAGGGGAGCGAACGGG
rnacentral:rRNA from 1 species